UAUGUGUAUAUAUAUAUAUAUAUAUAUAUAUGCAUAUUUGUAUUUUAUUCGUGUAGUAUGAUUUAUGGAUAUUACAAGAAUUUAGGUAUUUAGAGUUUAAGAGUGUCGUUAAAAGAGUCUUGCGGUCCAGCUGUGUAAAUUUUUUUAUGUCUACGCAUAUAUAUGUAUACAUCAUACCUUUAUUCUCCAGCUUUCUCUCGACAAAUUAGUGACAGUGGCACUAGCAAAUAAAAAGAGGAACUACUGGCCUCGAAAGCCUUGCUCGGAGAUAACGGAUGCCUCUACAGUAAUGAAAAGUAAAAAAUUCGUGGUUUCACGGACACGAUCGCUCGUUUGAAUCACACGGCCGUCGAUUCACGCUCCACGAGGACGAGGAUUUCGAUUGUCGGGAUGGCGGAUAAAUAUUUGAAAACUAAAAAUGCCAGAAAUUAACCCAACGUUCAACGACGAAAUUUCAAUGGGACGUGGUCCACGGGAUUCGAAAUAUAUUAAUUUCGCAAUUCACUUUAUGGUAUCAGCCACGUGUAAUGAAAUUGACAUUACUGCAUACUGGAUUAAGGUCGAUUCACAUGCAAAACGUUGAACCUUCAUUCCGUCGCUUGAGUUACACAAGGAUUCAAGGAGGUUAAUGUUCGCUGAGUAAUUUUAACAAAAUAAUUGCUCCAGCACAGCGACUACCUACCGUCUUGGCAUUUCACUCUUAAUACUCGCCGCUACGAAAACGCUCCAUAAUUGGAAGCUGUAUCUGGCUACUUCCGCUUAGAGGAGCUAGCGCUAUUUACGAGGCUAAUAAAACGCAAAGGAGUCAAGAAGGCUUCGUUUCCAAUGCUCGUAUUUGUCCAGUGCGGUACAAUUACCUUAGAAUUAGUACUCGACGACACUUGCCCAUAAACUUUCAGUUUUAUGCUUUUUCAUGUGUUUUGUUUACAUGAGCUGCUACACGGGAGUACUCCUUGCUCGGAUCAAUUAUAUCAGCAACACCAUUAACUGUAUUCGCUCAAUGAUAAUCCACCUGCUGACCAGGUCCCCCAUCGUUCAUUCGUCCAGGAAUUACGUUAUUAGCAUCGUCUUACGGAGAUCCAGGACAAUCGCAGGUCUUCGGGUAGUCUAAGCAUUGUAAAAACAUUAUUACCGAAGAGAAACAAGGGUAGAAGAAGUGAAACAAGGAAUUUCAGCUGUAACUCUGUCUACACCCAACAGCCGUAUAAGUACGGUAUGUAUACAGUGGGAAAUGGCACUCGUAUCCCUGUAUAGAUAUACGAGAUGGGUGGUUCGAAAAGGUAGCGUAAAACGCGAGGAGGUUGGAUACUGACAAAAAGUUGGAACUAUUUGAUCGUAAACCGCUCACGUUGCGCACCUGGAAGCAAUCCUGCUGAUACGAAGAGCACAGGGACAGGCUGCUCUCGACAGCCGAGCGACUGUGCACACGCCUAAAGGGGUUUUCGUUAGAUUUCAUUUCACACCCAAUUACACUACAGAGAGAGAGAGAGAGAGAGAGAGAGAGAACGUGCGCCAGAGCUUCGGGUAAAAAUACACAAAAUAUACGUGUAACGGCAAGCAGGUAGGACAAGCAGGGUACCCUACAUGGGGAGCUUAACUGUAAGGUACCCAGACAACCAGGCGCCACCAGUUUUGUCUAUAUAUUCUACGCUUGACCAGUGCACCAUCGACGAUUGGCUGCUUGAACGGCCGAUUCUGGCAUACGUGCUCGAGCGACCACGCGAUCAUCCUACGCCUACCUCAAAGCACUGCGAAGCUUUUGUAACGAUUGUCUAAUCUGUCGUGGCAAUCUGUCCGGAUGGAAAUUUUGUAAAAACAUAAUUUCGCUGUCUACACCUGGGGACCGUAGAGUCCGGAUGGCUGGCGAUCAUAGGGAUUAAACUAUGUGUAUGUCACGUGGCCUUACGUCAGCUGUGCCCAUCGCUGCACAAUACAAUUCUAUUGCAUAACGACGCUGCUCCGAGCAUAAGAACUGUGCUACAGGAAGUGCAACCCCUUUGGCACAUAUGCGCCUUAGGUAUAAGGGAUGGCGUUGAAAGGUCGCAGAACUGUAGGGGGUUGGUUACUACCAACAAGGGAUGUCAAGAAACCGUUCAACCAGACGCUGUAAACUUUAUCGCACGGAUAAGACAGAAACUUAUAGACUGCAGAGAGCUAUAAAAAUUCAUCCCUUAUACAUUUACAUCAUAAUAUAAUGCUUGAUGUGGGUCGACGUACGAUUCGAGUGAAAUUUGUAUAAAAAAAUUUAUAUAAAAAAUAUCUCAUUGACGAUCAA